rnacentral:rRNA from 1 species
GAUGAACGCUGGCGGCGUGACUAAUACAUGCAAGUCGAACGAGGUCUUCGGACCUAGUGGCGAACGGGUGAGUAACACGUUGGUACCUACCCCGAAGUGGGGAAUAACUGCCCGAAAGGGUGGCUAAUACCGCAUAAUACCGCAAGGUUAAAGCAGUAAUGCGCUUCGGGAGGGGCCUGCGUCCCAUUAGCUAGUUGGUAGGGUAAUGGCCUACCAAGGCGACGAUGGGUAGCUGGAUCGAGAGGUUGACCAGCCACACUGGGACUGAGAUACGGCCCAGACUCCUACGGGAGGCAGCAGUAAGGAAUCUUCCACAAUGGACGAAAGGCUGAUGGAGCAACGCCGCGUGCAGGAUGACGGCCUUCGGGUUGUAAACUGCUUUUAUACGGGAAGAUUAUGACGGUACCGUAUGAAUAAGGACCGGCUAACUACGUGCCAGCCGCCGCAGUAA